UCGAAAUAUAGGUAUUCGCUAAAAAAGUCUUUCAAUUACCAUUUGCCCUACGCCGCAUACCCUUAUUUUGCUGAAUUAUCGAUUCUCGGCGGUGAACUUGUCUCUAUAAACAUUUUAUCCAAACAUAUUUUUUAGUGUGAUGAACAAUAAGAUGGAUAAGAAAACGAUAUUGAGAACCGGAUUGAAAAAAUUCAAAAAUACCUGGAGUAAAAAGAAGAAUUUGAAGAGAAUUGUUGAAAUCAGGAAUUUUAUGAGGGCACUUAUAGGAGAACGAAAACGAAAAACUUCUUGUUUAGAUGUUAGAUGUGAAAGAAUCCAUGACUAUUCCUGACAUAAAAGAAGAUAGAAAAGUUUUGAAGACGAGAUGGACAGAAAACAGGUCUUUAGAACGGGAUUGAAAAAAUUGAAGUCUAAGCAAAAUAACCUGAGGAGAACAGUUCAAAUCCGGAAUUUAUUGAAGUCACUUGCAGGAGAACGAAAGCAAGGAAAUCUUUCUCAGAAUUCGAAAACCUCCGAAACUUGUGCUGAAAUUAGAGAAGUUAAUCAAGAUAAUCGUGAACAGAAAGAUAUAAUCACGCAAAAAUCAAAUUCCGAUGUUGGCGAAAAAAAGCCGGAUGUGUCGAACGGAAAUCUAAGGAAACGUUUGACGAGGUCUUUUAUUCUGAAGGAGAUUCUGAACAUGACAUCUAUCAGAAGAAAACAAGAUCUUAAUUACAAACUUUUUAAACAAGACGAGUACAUUAAGAUCAAGAAGAAGGCGACACCUAUAAAAACAAAACGUUUUGUAGGAUUUGUGACACCAUCCCGCGCUUUAUGAACAAAAUGAAACAUUAACUUUGAAAAAAAUAAUUAAAAAUUAUUAGUAUUAGCUGAUUCAUUAUCAGCAUAUUCUAAAUGAAAAAUUUAGUUUGAAAAAAAAAUUGGUAGGUGUAGAUAACAGUAGGUUAGACAACAGUAGAAUAGAUAACAGUAGGUUAGACAACAGUAGAAUAGAUAACAGUAGGUUAGACAACAGUAGAAUAGAUAACAGUAGGUAUAUCGAGUUAAACAUGCAUACCAAUUCAGGCAGUUCAAAAAUGGAAUGCUAAGAGGUAUUUGUUUGAAUUUUUGUUGCCAAACGAAAAAGUAAGUUACAAGUAGGUUGUAUAUAUAGUAUAUAGUGAGAAGGGGUUAAAAGUACAAAUAUGUAAGGAGUGUAGCAUCGUUUCGAGCGAAAUUUAGUUCAGUUUUGUGUCGUUUUGUGAAAAACAACAUUCGUUGUGUAAUCGGAGAAACAACAAAGGCUCGGUUGGGUCUGAAAUUUUUCCAUUGCAAUUUUAAUUAGUGGGACCUGAAAAUCCAGAAUUGAUUGCGAUUUAUUCAAUUAUGUCGAAUAUUUAAGUCAUUCUAUCCAUAUAACGGGUCUUUACUGAGUUGCGACAAAAAUUUAUUCCUUUUCGUGAAAAAAAUAAUAUUAGUAAAUAGACAUGGGAGACCAUAUGCUUAUCUUCUGAUAUAGGGGGUGUCAAACAUUGGAAAAUCGUUCAAGAUAAAAACGUAUGACAAAUUACAGGUGAAGGUGAAUAAUUGCUGAAACCAAAAAUUAUCGAAAUUAAUAUUCCCAUAAUUUAUCAAAAGUAGAGCGCACUUCGACUUCCAAAAUAUAUAAAAAUGCGCGGUUUCUCUUGGAAAAAAUUCCCUCUAUUUACAGGUCUGAUUUUUAUUGAAGGGACUCUACAGGGUUCAAGGAACCUCCCCUUAUAUUAAUCUGACACACUCGAGUAAAUCCAGAAUUUCUUGGGCUCUCCAACUUUUGUGUUCGAAAGGUCGCGAUCCUGAACAUGCCAACGCCUGUUGCCAUGAAUAAAGAUUUAAAAAGAAUUUUCUCAUUUUUUCAAUCAAUUAUUUGCAGAAUAAUUCUUUGAACGACACAAGUUAGCACAGAUGUAGCACUACAUAACAUACUAUAACAUAACAUUUAUCCUUAGCAUCAAAAAUAUUCAUGCCUUCUCAGUUAACUUUGAAUGAAUUCUUGAAUAUUGUAAAUUGUAUUUUGCAGAAGUAUUUUUCGAACACAGUUUUUGAAUCUUCUUCCUUGAAACUGUUUGAUAUCGUCGGGUAGCCUAUUAUAAAUUUU